UGCCGCAGCCCAUCAGGCUCGCGGACUUGCGGAGCCUGCUGGCACGCCGGCGGGCAGCGACGCGCCGACGGCGGCCAGCUCGGCUGCGGCACCAGCCCCUACCCAGCACUGUAGCACUGUAGCCCCAGCUCUCCAGCAACCAUCAAGGUCGCCGCCUCGCCGGCGCCGCUAGCUCCACCCCCACAAUCGCCCCCAGUCGAUGCCUCAAGCUCCCACUAUCCGCUUACGGCUCGUGCUCCUCCGAAUUUCCAAGUGGCCUUGUUGGCCUCUGGUCUCUGGAGUGGACGAUGGGAGCCAGGCCAGCAGACGACGAGGAAUCCGGCGAUUCCAAACUCCAACCAACCUGGGGGUCAUCUGGCGCGCCCCUGCUGGGGCCGUCGACCCGAAGGCGCCAACCCUUGCCCCCAUCCGCAGCUCGCGAAGACAGCUGGAUGAAGCAUCUGGCAUGAACUGCUGCAUCCGCAUCCAGCGACUGCAUCAUCUCUGGUGCUGUUGCUGUUGCUGUUGCCACUCGAGAAUCGCUGAACGGAGCGCCUUGUUUGGGGUGAGCUUGCGGCUUGCAAGUCUCAGGUUUGUCAUGGGCGAUGUGUUAGCUCCAUCAAGCCAUCCCCUGAUUGCUUCGGCUUCGUAUGUGAACCCAUCUUCGGCCAUGUGGGGAUCACUCAUCACCUCCUGUUGGCCGUGCAUCAGACAAAGAUGGAUGAAGUGUGAUGGAGGUGGAGCAUCGGAGGGUGAUUCAAAUUGAGAUGACCCAGUGGUCAGGCUAGCGGCUUUCAUCAGUUGCUCGACCACCACCCAUACUUCCCCAGCAAGUUCUGGCUGGCGUCCCCAGCUCAAGUUGAUGCAUCUAAGACCAAGAUGUGCCAUCUUGUUUGCCUGCGUAAAUGGCCAGUCCCCUGCAGAGGCAUCAAUGAUGGAAUGCAGGGUAACGUUGAAGGUUGGUGGUCGGUAAGUCAGGUUGUCUGUGGAGGUGGCAGAUGCCCAAGUCUCCCAGCUUGCUGACGAAGUUGGCAUCUACGAGAAUGUUUCCCAGAUUUAGAUCACCGUGACCAAUUGGAUAAGGCUUCUGUGAGUGGAUGAAAGCCAAAGCUGAGCAUAUCUCCCCAAUGAUCCUUGUGCGCACCUUCCAUGUCAGAGGUGGCAUGUUUUUCUUGCAUGAAAGCCAGUCCUCGAGGGUACCAUUUGGGAGGAAUUCGUACACCAGCGCGAAAUCGUCUGGGCAUGCUCCUAUCAGUGUUAUGAGAUUAGGAUGCCUGACUCUACUGAGGACAGCAACCUGCAGGAGUGAUGCCCCAGGUACAACAAUAAUGUCACUGCUCAUUCUGAAAAAGGUGCUAUAGAAUUAAAGGAAAGUGAUGUCCAUUACCUCUUGAUAAAACUUUGCUUGUCCUUUUAAGCUUUGUGGAUGGAACAACUUUAUUGCUACAUUUGUGUUGCGGAUGAAACCUUUAUAGAUCCUUGCAAAUUCAUCUUCACUAAUCUUAAAUUCUUCAUCAAAUCCGUUGGUUGCUUUCUGCAGCUCGGCAAAUGAGAACUCAGUGUUCGGAGUUUCAGUUAUCAUUGAGGCUCUUUUUUUGUUCUUUUGGCGUAACUCUUUCGCUUCUGUCACUGCAGCAUCUCUCUCGUGGAGUAAAUUUUCAUUCUUUGCUUGGAGCUCUUGAAGAAGCUGUUUGCUGUUUGCAAGCUUUUCUUCAUGAACGUUCACAGUGGACUUGAUUUCAGUCAUAUGUUUGCUAUGCAUCUCAUGUAGCUUUCUUUUUGCUCCUUGAAUUUCUUCCGUCUGCCUUGCCAUUGUCUCCUCCAUUCUUUCCUUUUCUUUCAACUGAUGUAUAUGCUGAUGCUCCAGGUCUUUAAUCUGUAUGGGCACUCAACAUUUUGGUAAAGUCCUGCAUUUUGUUGUAUGGACCAAUGCAGAAAAGGAAAAAGAAAACUUACCCUUUGAAGAUAUGAGAGUAGAUCUUUUUCAGCUUUUCUUCUGUUAGUUUCUUCAGACACAUCCUUUUCAAAAGAUUAGUGAGAUAUUUCUGAACAAUAUUUAACAAUACACUGAAUCUUAAUACAGACUGUCAAACUUACCACUUGUUCCAGUCUGAGCCUCUGCUCUUUUACAUCUUGUAAGUCGUAAUACAGUUGAUCUCGUUGCCUUUUUGUUUCUUCAAUCUCUGUCCUCUGUCUUGCUAUCUUCUCCUCCAUGUAUUCCCUCUGUACCUUCUCGUUUUGGAGCAAACUCUCCAUCUCUUUCACCUGUAAUGAUCCUUCAGAUUUUUUUAUCACGAACUUCCUUAGUUGAACCAUAGACUCCUGAUACAAAGCGCUUACUCUCUGAAGUGUUGAAAGCAGAUCCAUUUUGAUCUUUUGGCGUUUCUUAGAUUCUUCACAUGAUUGUUUUAUAAAAUAAUUGGUAAUUUCUUCAAUGUGAUCUUUUGCAGCAGACUUCAUUUGUGUUAUACAUUGUUCAAGCAUAAGGUUAUGCUUUUUUGAAUCCUGUAAUUCAUCAGAUAAUAUGCAUUGUUGUCUUCUCAUUUUGUCAAUCUGCAGCCUCUGUCUAGCAAGAGUCUUCUCAAUUUCUUUUCGCUGGCUCACCUCUUGAAGAUAUGAAUCUUCUGAUUCUUUAAUCUGCAAGGAGAUUUUGGUGGUGUGUAAUGUCCAAUAUGAUGGUCCAUUUCAGUUUUGCGUAUUUUGUUAGAUUCAUCAUCAGCUUGAUCCUUCAGCAGCUUAGCUUCAAUACACAGAUCUUGAAGUUUCUCAUACAUUUCUUCAUCUACACUGGGUUGGUCUUCCUGUGUGAUACCAUCAGCAAAAGUCUUAAUUUAUUUUGGCACCUUAUUAUAUAGCGAUAGCAUUUUCACUUAUAAUACUGUACUCACCUGAUUAUAUGCUGAUGCUAGCAGCAAGUAGACAUUAUCAGAUUCUUGUGUAGAAGAAUGCACCACUGGCAUUAGUUCAUUUGUGUCUCCAAUAAUUGGAUGUUGAGUAGCAGUUCCGGAGAAAUUAGUAUCAUCAUCAAUUCUUGAUGAUCCAUACACUAUCAUCCCCCAAUCUGGAGUUACCAUUACAGUGAAAAACCAUUGUGAUUACCUUCAAAAGUAAAUUGGACCGCAUGGCUAGAGGUAGUCUUAUUUGCUUGAAUAAAAAAUAUUUUUUUUAUUUUUCUGGGCACAUGUCACAUGAACAUGGUUGUCUUUCACGAUCUAAGAAUGGUUGGGUUGAUUUGUUGCUUUAUAUAAAUCUGUUAAUUUUUUUGGCUGUAUUUGGGUUCAUUCAUUUAUCAUUACUUUGAACAUAGGAAUAUAAUUUACAAAAAUACUCCCUCCAUCCCGCAAAGAAUGCAAUUCUAGUUUUGUCCGAAGUCAAACUAUUAUAGAUUUGACCAAGUUUAUAGAGAAGACUAGAAUUGCAUUCUUUGCGGGACGGAGGGAGUACAUAAUUGUAAUGUCUUGAAUCUAUUUGUGAACUCUAGUGAUGCCUAAAUUUCGGCCUGCAUUCUGCUAAUAUGGAGGUUUUACUUGUAAGCAUAGAAUCAUGUGCUUGCGUAUUUAAGCCGAAAAAUCACAGAGAUGAUUAUUUUUCAACAAUGACAUUAUCUUUCAAUAUGUAUUUAGGAUAAUCACCUCCGAAAAGAUAAUCCCAAUCCGUCAUUUCUGUUGCAACCAAUGAGCUUGAAGUGUAUCCUUUGGAGCUUGAUACUUCGUAUUCCAACUCAGUGAGUGCCAUUGAUCCCAUUUGGUUUGAAAUGUUGUAUGCUGGUGCCUCUGUUGCAUUUUUUGCAGGUGAUGCAGGUAUUACAGGAAGGCCUUCAGUUGCUUCCCUGUAAGUUUCGAUAACAUGGUUAAUAAAAUCUUCAGACAUUUUAAACACUAGUGCACUGAAAUUAAUGCUCACUAUAUUUUGAACUGGGACCAUCAGAGGUAGAGUUCUUGUUAAGGACACAGUAUAUUGGUCUCCCAGUGAACUUGAAUGUACUAUUUGUAGAUAUAGAAGCCUGGAGGUAAAAUUCCAGUUGUCAAUUGAACCUUGCUUUUACCUGGUACAUAUCAAAUGCCCUUUACAAGUAAACCAUAUCUUGCACGAUGGAGCAGCUGUCUCCAUAAGCCUUAGUGCUGUCAUUGACUUUGGUGUGUUCAUUUCUCUACAAUUCGAGACGAUCUGUUAGAAUGUGCCAUCAUAAGGAAUACUCUUAAGAAACUUCUUGGUCUAUGCAUGCUAGCUUCUCACAAAUUUCUUGGAAGGAGCAAAACAAAAAAAAAAUCAAUAUCU